rnacentral:tmRNA from 1 species
GGGGGCGCCCGGCAUUGACAGCAUAGAUCUUUGGAAGUGUAAGCAUGUGCUGCGUUGCGUAAUUAGCAGCAUAAUCUGAAUACGAAAACCUUAAAUGGCAAUACACAAUUUGCCAUGGCUGCCUAAUCAGUGAUUAAGUAGUCAUUAUGGCCGGGUAAAAGGCAGGCUUGUAGCCCGUUGCCCCGCCCAAUCAACAAAACAAUAUGAGCUGCUGUUGUGCAAGGCUGUGCGUACAACAAAAGACCCAUACAGCUAAGGGAUCGAUCGGUUGUUUGUUUCCAGUCGAUCUCUGACACAAUAAAACAAAAUAAACAUGUAGAAAGCUUUUGAAGAAUAUGUUUGGACAGGAGUUCGAUUCUCCUCGCCUCCACAC